rnacentral:tRNA from 1 species
ACCUGGGUGGCUCAGUUGGUUGGGCAUCUGACUUCAGCUCAGGUCAUGAUCUCGCAGUUCGUGAGUUCGAGCCCCACAUCAGGCU